AUUGAACGCUGGCGGCAGGCCUAACACAUGCAAGUCGAGCGGUAGAGAGAAGCUUGCUUCUCUUGAGAGCGGCGGACGGGUGAGUAAUGCCUAGGAACCUGCCUAGUGGUGGGGGAUAACGUUCGGAAACGGACGCUAAUACCGCAUACGUCCUACGGGAGAAAGCGGGGGAUCUUCGGACCUCGCGCCAUUAGAUGAGCCUAGGUCGGAUUAGCUAGUUGGUGAGGUAAUGGCUCACCAAGGCGACGAUCCGUAACUGGUCUGAGAGGAUGAGCAGUCACACUGGAACGGAGACACGGUCCAGACUCCUACGGGAGGCAGCAGUGGGGAAUAUUGGACAAUGGGCGAAAGCCUGAUCCAGCCAUGCCGCGUGUGUGAAGAAGGUCUUCGGAUUGUAAAGCACUUUAAGUUGGGAGGAAGGGUAGUAACCUAAUACGUUGCUACUUUGACGUUACCGACAGAAUAAGCACCGGCUAACUUCGUGCCAGCAGCCGCCGUAA
rnacentral:rRNA from 1 species